rnacentral:rRNA from 1 species
AUGGCAGGCAGGCGAGUUCUUGUCCGCUGCGUCCUCUUGGCGCUACCCACCUUCGCCCUCACAGCGCUGCGGGUGCCCAAGAAGCUUCUGAAGGAAAUUGACAAGCACAGGCGACGGUUUCUUUGGGGGAAGGACCAAGAGCUCUCCGGUGGCAGUUGCAAGGUAAAUUGGGAGCGGGUUUGCUCUCCGACUGAGCAUGGCGGCCUCGGUGUACUGGAUCUUCCAAAAUUCAGUCGCGCACUCCGGUUGAGAUGGCUCUGGCACAGCUGGAAGAAUCCCACCCGCCCUUGGGUGGGAAUG